GGACUACCGGGGUAUCUAAUCCUGUUUGCUCCCCACGCUUUCGAGCCUCAACGUCAGUGAUCGUCCAGUAAGUCGCCUUCGCCACUGGUGUUCCUCCUAAUAUCUACGCAUUUCACCGCUACACUAGGAAUUCCACUUACCCCUCCGACACUCUAGUUCAUUAGUUUCCAAUGCAGUCCUGGGGUUGAGCCCCAGCCUUUCACAUCAGACUUAACAAACCGUCUACGCUCCCUUUACACCCAGUAAAUCCGGAUAACGCUUGCCCCCUACGUAUUACCGCGGCUGCUGGCAC
rnacentral:rRNA from 1 species